UACGUAGGGGGCGAGCGUUGUCCGGAAUUACUGGGCGUAAAGGGUGCGUAGGCGGCAUGUUAAGUUGGAUGUGAAAUACCCGGGCUCAACCUGGGGGGUGCAUCCAAAACUGGCAAGCUAGAGUGCAGGAGAGGAAAGCGGAAUUCCUAGUGUAGCGGUGAAAUGCGUAGAUAUUAGGAGGAACACCGGUGGCGAAGGCGGCUUUCUGGACUGCAACUGACGCUGAUGCACGAAAGCGUGGGGAGCAAACAGGAUUAGAUACCCUGGUAGUCCACGCUGUAAACGAUGAAUACUAGGUGUAGGGGGUAUCAACUCCCUCUGUGCCGCAGCUAACGCAAUAAGUAUUCCGCCUGGGGAGUACGGCCGCAAGGUUGAA
rnacentral:rRNA from 1 species